rnacentral:tRNA from 1 species
GCCAUCGUGGUGUAGUGGUCAGCACGCUCGACGCGUAACCGAGAGGUCCGUGGUUCGAUUCUCGGCGAAGGCG